rnacentral:rRNA from 1 species
CCUACUGGAGGCAGCAGUGGGGAAUAUUGGGCAAUGGGCGCAAGCCUGACCCAGCAACGCCGCGUGAAGGAAGAAGGCUUUCGGGUUGUAAACUUCUUUUGUCAGGGACGACGCAAGUGACGGUACCUGACGAAUAAGCCACGGCUAACUACGUGCCAGCAGCCGCGGUAAUACGUAGGUGGCAAGGGUUAUCCGGAUUUACUGGGUGUAAAGGGCGUGCAGGCGGGACUUAAAGUCAGAUGUGAAAACCACGGGCUCAACCUGUGGCCUGCAUUUGAAACUGUAGUUCUUGAGUACUGGAGAGGCAGACGGAAUUCCGAGUGUAGCGGUGAAAUGCGUAGAUAUGAGGAGGAACACCAGUGGCGAAGGCGGUCUGUUGGACAGCAACUGACGCUGAGGCGCGAAAGCGUGGGGAGCAAACAGGAUUAGAUACCCUUGUAGUC